UUGAAGCAACACAUUAAUCUACUUAAGAGGCAUUUAAUAAUGUCUGCAAUUAUAAAAGUAUUUUUACAAUAUCUGAACCAUUAUAAAUAUUUAGUUUCUUUAGUAUAACAUAAGCAUUAUACACUAUAAAGUGAUAAAAACAUAUUCUUUGUUAAAGAGAUAAAAAUAUGGCUAAAAUUAUCAACUUUGUUUAUGUCAUGCUUUUAUUUAUUUCCCUAUUACUUGGUACAAAAACCGUUGAUGCAAGUUUCCAGAGAUGUGAAACUGAUGAUGAUUGUCCAAAAACUGAUACACCCGAUAUUCCUGAUAAGUAUCUGUGUUACAAGAAAAGAUGUUAUCUUAUUAAAGGUGGGACACUAGAAAAUUAGUACCAAAUUGAUGAUGAUUGUAAAAUCAAAUGUGAUUCAGGGAAAAAUAAGUUGAUAUACUAAUAAAAUAAAUCUAUGCAAUCUAAAAUAAAUUUGGUUUGCACCCAAUAAAUGUAUUUCUUUAAUAUUUCGUUUUAUAAUUUUAUGGACCUUGCAAUUAUGACUUUGUAUUCUACAAUGUUGGCAAUGAAAUAAAUUAUGGUACUAUACAAUAUUAUUAUGA